rnacentral:misc_RNA from 1 species
AAGUAUGCAUACUUCAAACAGUUGUUAAACAUGUUAAAAUGUCGAUGCAACGUGCAUAUAAAUUUAUAAACAGGGAAGUAACGACGAGGUGAAAGAAGCCGUGAAGUGCGCCAUUGACUGUGGGUAUAGGAGUCUGGACUGCGCCCUGGUCUACCAGAACGAGUCGUCCGUAGGUCAAGCCGUGGCCGACAAAAUCAGGGACGGCGUGGUCAAGAGGGAGGAUUUGUUUAUCACAACCAAGCUGUGGGACACUCACCAUAACCCGGCGAAUAUCCGGGAGAACUGUAUGAAGUCUCUGAACAGUCUGAAGUGUGGUUACAUCGACCUCUAUCUCAUACACUGGCCAUUCGGUUUCGAGGAUGGGGACGAGUAUUUUCCGAUGGGAGACGAUGGAAAGGCCAGGUUUUCUGACCAUGAUUAUGUUGGUGUCUGGAAGGGUAUGGAGAAGUUGGUAGAUGAAGGUUUGGUAAAAUCCAUUGGCUUGUCAAACUUCAACGAAAGUCAGAUUGAGCGUGUAAUUAAGAAUUGUCGCAUCAAACCUAGCAACCUACAGAUCGAGGUCCAUCCUUACUUCUCGAACAAAAAACUGGUCGAUUUCUGUACUGCCAACGGAAUCACGGUGACGGCCUACGCGCCGCUUGGGAACCCGAACAGAACAGGGCUGGAGAUAAAGAUCCCGUCGUAUUUGAUGAACCAAUCCUAAAAGAAAUCGCGGAAAGAAAGAAGAAGUCCAUAGCGCAAGUUUGCCUUAGGUUUCUGCUGCAGCGGAACAUUGUUGUCAUUCCAAAGAGCGUCAAUCCACAAAGAAUCAAAGAGAAUAUCGACAUUUUAGAUUUUGAGUUAUCUGACGAGGAAAUGAAAGCCAUCUGGUCAUUAGAUAGCGGAAAGCGGUUUUACAUAGAACCGAUUGCAAAAACCCACAAGUAUUAUCCAUUUGAGGACGUAAAAUAGAUUGGUGCAGAUCAAUUUAUACACUGUAGAGAAUUCUUUACUUAACAUGUAUUGAAUGAUUAAAAUUAUUUCAAAAU